AGUGUGGAAUGCUGUCAGCUGUGGUUUGUUACUCAUGCUGGGUUCCCUGCCCCUCCAAAUCUUCAAGGAGAGGCUUGGUAUUUGCUCUCUGACAAUUUAUUUACCAGAGGACUGUUCUUAAGUUAUUGUGGUUUAUGUUCGAAAUAUUGUUUAUGGAUAAAAUGGCGCUGAGGCUGGGUUGGGUCCUGAGCUGACCUCUGCCCAGCCUGCAGAUCCUGCAGCUUCUCAUUUAUGUGUCUCACAGUGUGAGGGGUGCUGCUGCCCCUCUCCCAUCCACACAAAGCUGCCUUCCCAGUACACAUACCUAAUUUGUAGCUAAUACUCUCAUUGUGGCUACUUCAAUAACAGUACAGAUUUUUUUUCCAAAUGAAAUACACAUGUGGCUCCCAAGCCAGCAUUUUCUGUUUCAAAUUAAGCAUAUUUUUUUCUCUCAAGAAUGCCACAUCAUACAUAAUUUUCUAUAAUUUUUUCUAUUGAUUUCCUUCUUAGCCUUCAUCAAAACUGUGCUGGAGCAAUCGAAGAGCAGAUUGGGACCUACCUUGCAGAGAAGAAAAGAGGAUGAGGAAUCUGCUUACACCGUUAUAUUGACCUUCUGCUUUGAGUGCAAUAAAAAUCUGGAGGAGAUCAAACUCUGGCUCAUUUGGCACAGGAAAACCAAGCAACCAUGCAGGACUGGAAACUUCUAGCUGGUUUUCCUUUGAUUGGGAAGUACUUCUGCAAGUCUUUAUGGAAAAGUUGCCUGGGUGUUUGUCCUGCUCCCUCCCAGGUGAGUCUCUGCCUAUUCCUAGUGCUCCCACACCUUUUGGCGAG
rnacentral:lncRNA from 1 species